rnacentral:rRNA from 1 species
GACGAACGCUGGCGGCGUGCCUAAUACAUGCAAGUAGAACGCUGAAGGAGGAGCUUGCUCUUCUGGAUGAGUUGCGAACGGGUGAGUAACGCGUAGGUAACCUGCCUGGUAGCGGGGGAUAACUAUUGGAAACGAUAGCUAAUACCGCAUAAGAGUAGAUGUCGCAUGACAUUUGCUUAAAAGGUGCAAUUGCAUCACUACCAGAUGGACCUGCGUUGUAUUAGCUAGUUGGUGAGGUAACGGCUCACCAAGGCAACGAUACAUAGCCGACCUGAGAGGGUGAUCGGCCACACUGGGACUGAGACACGGCCCAGACUCCUACGGGAGGCAGCAGUAGGGAAUCUUCGGCAAUGGACGGAAGUCUGACCGAGCAACGCCGCGUGAGUGAAGAAGGUUUUCGGAUCGUAAAGCUCUGUUGUAAGAGAAGAACGAGUGUGAGAGUGGAAAGUUCACACUGUGACGGUAUCUUACCAGAAAGGGACGGCUAACUACGUGCCAGCAGCCGCGGUAAUACGUAGGUCCCGAGCGUUGUCCGGAUUUAUUGGGCGUAAAGCGAGCGCAGGCGGUUAGAUAAGUCUGAAGUUAAAGGCUGUGGCUUAACCAUAGUACGCUUUGGAAACUGUUUAACUUGAGUGCAAGAGGGGAGAGUGGAAUUCCAUGUGUAGCGGUGAAAUGCGUAGAUAUAUGGAGGAACACCGGUGGCGAAAGCGGCUCUCAGGCUUGUAACUGACGCUGAGGCUCGAAAGCGUGGGGAGCAAACAGG